rnacentral:rRNA from 1 species
UACGGAGGGUGCAAGCGUUAAUCGGAAUUACUGGGCGUAAAGCGCGCGUAGGCGGCUAGAUAAGUCAGAUGUGAAAUCCCCGAGCUCAACUUGGGAACUGCGUUUGAAACUACAAGACUAGAGUAGGUCAGAGGGGGGUAGAAUUCCACGUGUAGCAGUGAAAUGCGUAGAGAUGUGGAGGAAUACCAAUGGCGAAGGCAGCCCCCUGGGAUCAUACUGACGCUCAUGCACGAAAGCGUGGGGAGCAAACAGG